GGAGCAUCUCUCCUGCUCACCCACCAAUGCACCCUUCCCCAUGCGUUCCAGGUGAGCCGGUUCUCAUCAGCACAUUCAGUCUGUCGCUUGCCAAAGCCACCUCAGCCACUGCGAAGGUUUUGUGUUCAAAAGCAGCCAUUGAGGAUGCAGCUGCUUUAAAUCUGUGUUGGGGCCUGCCGGGCACAGCCUGUUUCUUUACUCCACAUGGGUACAAAGCCCUGUGGAAUGGGGCUGGAACGUGCUGACCUGGGAAUAAAGGCCGUAGAAGAGGGAUAGAACCGGUUUCGGCUUCCCUGGGGAACAAUGCUCGGCCUCUCAGCAGGACAUGGCCAUGAUGUGUUUGGAUUUGGGCACCGCGGCAGCAGCUCCGCAACCAAGGCUCUCUGAUGAGAUCUGGGAAGUGGAACCAGCAGAGACAUGAAAUGAAUGGAUCUGUUCUCUCCGGCCAAGGAAAACGUGGUGCAGGGAGGAGAGUGUCACAGAUGUGUUGGCAGAAGGACCUGGCAGACCCUGCAGGACCGAAUCAGCUGCGGCUUCUUCUGCCCCUCUGAGGAUGGAGAAUUCCCCAUUUUCCACCCCGAACCCCUCAAAGUGUCUUUGGAAAGCCCAGGACGAAGUCUGGCUUUUUGCAGCUGCCCUUUAGGUAUCUUAAACGUGCUGGAGAGGGACUCUUCAUCAGGGACUGUAGUGGUAGGACAAGGGGUGAUGGGCUUAAACUGAAACAGGGGAAGUUCAGGUUGAGUGUAAGGGAGCUCUUCCCUGUGAGGGUGCUGAGGCGCUGGCACAGGGUGCCCAGAGAAGCUGUGGCUGCCCCAUCCCUGGCAGUGUUCAAGGCCAGGUUGGACACAGGAGCUUGGAGCAAGCUGCUCUAGUGGAAGGGGUCCCUGCCCGUGGCAGGGGUUGGAGC